rnacentral:rRNA from 1 species
UACGGAGGGCGCAAGCGUUGUUCGGAAUCACUGGGCGUAAAGCGCGUGUAGGCGGCUUGGCAAGUCGGGUGUGAAAGCCCGGGGCCUAACCCCGGAACUGCAUUCGAAACUGCCUCGCUCGAGUCCCGGAGAGGAUGGUGGAAUUCCCGGUGUAGUGGUGAAAUACGUAGAUAUCGGGAGGAACACCACCGGCGAAGGCGGCCAUCUUUACGGUGAUUGACGAUGAGCCGCGAAAGCGUGGGGAGCAAACAGG